AACCUUUGCUGUCUUGGGACGGAUCACCGCUGCAAGAGGGGAAGUUGCUACUGUGAUGAAUUCUGCCAUGUGGCACCAGACUGCCACCCAGACCACAGUGUCCUCUGCAACCCUGGUAACUCACAUACAGGCCCGAUUCCACCUACAGCAAAGCUGGAUGCGAUGGCUGGCAGAGGCAAACCCUUUGCCUGCACUUCAGGCCAAAGCCGGGAUGUGGCCUAGAUGGUUCCUAAGGUCCCUGACAAUCCUGAGAUCUUGCAUCUUGUCUAUUUCAGGUCAAAGGUGCCUACAUGCUCCUUCUAGCUUUGUUUCCCUGAUGUUCCUUGCCACCUGCUACUCCUCUCUGAGCUACUUUUCCAGGUUCCACAGGGAGAGGUUCAGCUGUCCGUGGUAGACAUGAGGGUAGAGAAUGAGGUGGUUGGGUUCCACUUACCUUUCUAUCAUCUUGCAGUAUGGAUGUCUCUUGACUGGUACCGUGUAGACUUUUGAGGGCACACAGGAGUCUGCAGAGAGAUACUGGGGACAUUGAGCAGCAGCAGUGGGGUUGGGAGGCAGAAAUGAGGACAGGAACAUUUACCUUGUGUUUCUCUCAGCUUCUCAGAUGACCAAGAUGGUGCUGCAGAUGGUGCUGAGGAUGGAGAACCCACCAAGCCCCGCUAGGAGCCACCUAGACUGGAUGCAGAGCAUGUGAUGAGAGGAGAGACGGCAGACCUG
ensembl:lncRNA MUC20-OT1 MUC20 overlapping transcript